GCGGAAGUAGUUCAGUGGUAGAAUAUCUCCUUGCCAAGGAGGGGGUCGCGAGUUCGAACCUCGUCUUCCGCUCCA
rnacentral:tRNA from 1 species